rnacentral:rRNA from 1 species
UACGUAGGGUGCAAGCGUUAAUCGGAAUUACUGGGCGUAAAGCGUGCGCAGGCGGCUUUGCAAGACAGAUGUGAAAUCCCCGGGCUCAACCUGGGAACUGCAUUUGUGACUGCAGGGCUAGAGUACGGCAGAGGGGGAUGGAAUUCCGCGUGUAGCAGUGAAAUGCGUAGAUAUGCGGAGGAACACCGAUGGCGAAGGCAAUCCCCUGGGCCUGUACUGACGCUCAUGCACGAAAGCGUGGGGAGCAAACAGG